AAUCACGAGCAUCGCGACUGAUCGCGACAUGAGUUAUUGCCGAAUUUUCUUGUGUAAUGUAAGUGUUUGAAAUCAACGAUCGGUCAUCUUGUGCGGUAUGGAUGUGUACAUGGAUGUGUCUCGUGUAUCAUCCUGAAACGUUGAAACAUUGCGUCAGCCUCUCGCUUUGGCCUUCGACGCAUUCCACUUCCACAUUUAGAAAGAACGGAAAAUAUUGAGUUGACGACCGGCGUUUCCUCUGUCUAUCUUCUACGGACGUACCUCGUUUGUCGUCCUUGAACGUUGCUCGAACGUUGCAUCAGCCUCUCGCUUUGGCCUUUGACGCAUCCCACUUCCACAUUCGAAAAGAACGGAGAAGAUUGAGUCUACGACCGGCGUUUCCUCCGUCUAUCUUCUACGGACGUGUGUCGUCCUUGAACGUUGCUGAAACGUUGCGUCAGCCUCUCGCUUUGGCCUUCGACGCAUUCCACUUCCACAUUUGGAAAGAACGGAGAAGAUUGGUAAUAUUCUUUGAUUAAUGAAAUUGACACUUACAUUGACACUUUUGUUAUCAACUUAACAUUUUACAAUCGGCGCUCUGAAAAGCGCAGCGUUGCCAUAUUGUUCUGACAGUAAAAUUUACUAAAAAAUAAAAAAUUUCUAAAUACACGUAAUAUUUUCACUUUUUUCUUAUAAUUAAACAUAAUAAUAAUUAUAACUUGAUUUUAUAUAAGUUUAAUGCAAUAUACAAGUUUGCUGAGGCCCUGCUUAAGCGCCUACAAAAUACGCUCCUCCGUGAAAGGAAUACCUUAAGGAUUGCAUAUGAAAUAAUGAAACGAUUUAGAUCCUUUACACUAUUUAUUAUUUCGUAUACAAUCCUCACAGGCUUUGAAUGUAAACAUAGAAUGUAAACUAGUACUACGUUUACGCGAGCGUUACUUCUAUAGUAACUUAUGAGAAUGCAUUCGUUUACGCGGAGUAAAUUAUCAUAAGUUACUACAAAAUCCCGUUUACGCGAAAGAAA